rnacentral:lncRNA from 1 species
AAACUAUCUAAAAUAUCAAAACAGCCCUCAACUAAAUAUUUUUCAAAUCUUUAUUUUAUUUAACAAUAAAAUAAAUCUCAUAUCAUAAUCAAAUCCUUCAAUACUCAUAACUUAACACGUCAUCAAUCAUAUCAUCAAAACAUAUCAAAAUCAUGCAUAUAUUAUAUAAUUAUAAUAUAAUUGCCUAAACUCGAUUAAAUAACUAUUAAACGAAAGUGGGCG